UUAAAAGAAGCCAAAAAGAGGCAUAUCACUGUUAAUGAUAGAAAUGAAGUUUUUUCCUUUUAAG
rnacentral:tRNA from 1 species